CGAUGGAUAACAGGUUGAUAUUCCUGUACCACCUAUAAUCGUUUUAAUCGAUGGGGGGACGCAGUAGGAUAGGCGAAGCGUGCGAUUGGAUUGCACGUCUAAGCAGUAAGGCUGAGUAUUAGGCAAAUCCGGUACUCGUUAAGGCUAAGCUGUGAUGGGGAGAAGACAUUGUGUCUUCGAGUCGUUGAUUUCACACUGCCGAGAAAAGCCUCUAGAUAGAAAAUAGGUGCCCGUACCGCAAACCGACACAGGUAGUCAAGAUGAGAAUUCUAAGGUGAGCGAGCGAACUCUCG
rnacentral:rRNA from 1 species